CUCCGCCGGCGACCGGCGCACGGGUGAGUAACACGUAUGCAACCUGCCCCUGUCAGGGGACAACCGCCGAAAGGCGGGCUAAACCCGCGUACAUGCCACCGGGGCAUCCCGGAGGCAGGAAAGGCUUCGGCCGGACAGGGAUGGGCAUGCGGCGCAUUAGGCAGUAGGCGGGGUAACGGCCCACCUAACCGACGAUGCGUAGGGGUUCUGAGAGGAAGGUCCCCCACACUGGUACUGAGACACGGACCAGACUCCUACGGAAGGCAGCAG
rnacentral:rRNA from 1 species